rnacentral:lncRNA from 1 species
UAUAUGCCCUGGGGUUCUCACUGUUAUAUUUGCAAACAACCAGAAACCAUCGAUCACGUUUUUCUUCACUGUUGGGAGGGGGUCUUUUUUUGGGAUGUACUACAAUGAACGUU